UAUAAAAAAUAUAAAAUCAUUUGUUAGAUGUAUUAGAAAGAUGUUAGGUUAGUUAGAUGUAUUUAGAAAGAGCAUGUGAUACAAUAAGAUUAUCAUUCUUCACAGGUUCUUCUGUUUUGCAAAUUCUAAACUUUCUACAAGUUACCUCAGGCCAUUUGCUUCAUGAUAGUAUCAAGAGAUGAAACCCAGUGCAGCAGCAUGACAGAAGAUACAUUGAACCAGUCAGCAGACCCAUGAAGAGAGAAACCGGACCUUUCUGUGGAAAUUUUACCAGAUGAGUGAUUUUAAACCUGACAUCAACAAUUACAAUGCCCACAGAACCAACUGCAUGUGAAAGGACUACAGUGAAAAUUCAGAGGUGUCCUGUUGUCCUUCAGGUACUUAAUGAUUUUGAUUCACAUUUAUCAAACAAACCCAUCAUCAUUAAGUCCUCUGGACAGACGAAGAACAAAAUGGCUGAUUGGCUUUAUGGAGAGUACAAAAGAAAAGGAAAAGCAGUUGAAAAGAGUAAAAAUAAAAUCACAUUAUCCUUGAUGACUGCAGGCAGUUUAAACAUGACAGCUGGUUCUUCGUUUGUGGACAUCUGCAGAAAGCUAACAGAAGUCAAUUUCCUGUGGAGAGCAACUUUUUGUCUGAGUGAUAACCACACCUUUCAGCUAAAUGCACAACAGCCUGCUAAAGCUCUUUGUACACGAGACAGUGAACUGCACAAAUCAUGA
rnacentral:lncRNA from 1 species